GUUAUCAUGGCCGAGUGGUUAAGGCAAUGGACUAGAAAUCCAUUCAGUUCUCCUCGCGCAGGCUCAAAUCCUGCUGGUAACG